CCUGUUAUCUGACCAAUAACAGAAUGCACCACAGCGUAAAAUCAUCUGAUUGGGUGAGUUGGUCGCACCGCCAUUUGACGAACGAACGCCAAGCCUAAGCCGUCUUUGUGCAUUAAGUGGGUAAAGGUUGGUUUAGUAGCGGUUUCCCCCACGACAAGGGGU
rnacentral:sRNA from 12 species